rnacentral:misc_RNA from 1 species
GUAGGUGAACCUGCGGAAGGAUCAUUACCAAAAAAUCCAAUACCAACCCCUUUUGUGAACUCUUUGAAUGUAUUUUGGGGUAAGGAAACCUUACUUAAAAACUAAGGCUCUUUACCCCACUUGUAUACAACUCUAACCGGGUUGGACUACAAGGACCUUUUUAAACCUUAAAAACAACUUUUAUAGGGAAGAAAUUCACUAUAAAGUUUAUUAAUCUUUUUUUUUUCAUAACAAAAAAAUUUAAAAGUUA